AUUGAACGCUGGCGGCAGGCCUAACACAUGCAAGUCGAGCGGAUGAAGGGAGCUUGCUCCUGGAUUCAGCGGCGGACGGGUGUGUAAUGCCUAGGAAUCUGCCUGGCAGUGGGGGAUAACGUCCGGAAACGGGCGCUAAUACCGCAUACGUCCUGAGGGAGAAAGUGGGGGAUCUUCGGACCUCACGCUAUCAGAUGAGCCUAGGUCGGAUUAGCUAGUUGGUGGGGUAAAGGCCUACCAAGGCGACGAUCCGUAACUGGUCUGAGAGGAUGAUCAGUCACACUGGAACGGAGACACGGUCCAGACUCCUACGGGAGGCAGCAGUGGGGAAUAUUGGACAAUGGGCGAAAGCCUGAUCCAGCCAUGCCGCGUGUGUGAAGAAGGUCCUCGGAUUGUAAAGCACUUUAAGUUGGGAGGAAGGGCAGUAAGUUAAUACCUUGCUGUUUUGACGUUACCAACAGAAUAAGCACCGGCUAACUUCGUG
rnacentral:rRNA from 1 species